AAAAGAUCAUCAAAAGUCGUGAUGUAGAGUUCUUGGAGCAUAAAAGUGGUAGUGAAAAGUGAGAGAUGUGUUCAAGAGGGAAUAGUGGUGUGUUUGUGGACACAUCUUCAAUUCCAGCAAACAAACAAGAAGAUGAAGAAGAGCAUUCUCAAAGUGAAGGAGGAGAGGAAGAUGCCAUGAUAGAAGAGCCCAAUACUAUGAAGACUUCAAUUCCAGCAAGAUACAACAAGAACAAUGAAGAGAAUGAAGAUGAAGAAUACCAACCAA
rnacentral:lncRNA from 1 species